UGGCGGACGGGUGAGUAACACGUGGGAACGUGCCUUUAGGUUCGGAAUAACUCAGGGAAACUUGUGCUAAUACCGAAUGUGCCCUUCGGGGGAAAGAUUUAUCGCCUUUAGAGCGGCCCGCGUCUGAUUAGCUAGUUGGUGAGGUAAAGGCUCACCAAGGCGACGAUCAGUAGCUGGUCUGAGAGGAUGAUCAGCCACAUUGGGACUGAGACACGGCCCAAACUCCUACGGGAGGCAGCAGUGGGGAAUCUUGCGCAAUGGGCGAAAGCCUGACGCAGCCAUGCCGCGUGAAUGAUGAAGGUCUUAGGAUUGUAAAAUUCUUUCAGUAGGGACGAUAAUGACGGUACCUACAGAAGAAGCCCCG
rnacentral:rRNA from 1 species